rnacentral:tRNA from 1 species
GUUUCUAUAGUUGAAUUACAACGGUGGUUUUUCGUAUCAUUGGUCCUGGUUAAACUCCGGGUGGAAACC